rnacentral:rRNA from 1 species
AGGUACGCCCCUGUAGCUUGAAUGGCCUGCGCCAUGAGGGUGAAGGGGUUGCAAUAAACUGGUGGCUGCGACUGUUUAAUAAAAACACAGCACUCUGCAAACACGAAAGUGGACGUAUAGGGUGUGACGCCUGCCCGGUGCCGGAAGAUUAAAUGAUGGGGUGCAAGCUCCUGAUUGAAGUCCCGGUAAACGGCGGCCGUAACUAUAACGGUCCUAAGGUAGCGAAAUUCCUUGUCGGGUAAGUUCCGACCUGCACGAAUGGCGUAACGAUGGCCACACUGUCUCCUCCCGAGACUCAGCGAAGUUGAAGUGUUUGUGAUGAUGCAAUCUCCCCGCGGCUAGACGGAAAGACCCCAUGAACCUUUACUGUAGCUUUGCAUUGGACUUUGAACCGGUCUGUGUAGGAUAGGUGGGAGGCUGUGAAGCGUGAACGCCAGUUUGCGUGGAGCCAUCCUUGAAAUACCACCCUGAUCUGUUUGAGGUUCUAACCCUGGUCCGUGAAUCCGGAUCGGGGACAGUGCAUGGUAGGCAGUUUGACUGGGGCGGUCUCCUCCCAAAGUGUAACGGAGGAGUACGAAGGUACGCUAGGUACGGUCGGAAAUCGUGCUGAUAGUGCAAUGGCAUAAGCGUGCUUAACUGCGAGACCGACAAGUCGAGCAGGUGCGAAAGCAGGUCAUAGUGAUCCGGUGGUUCUGUAUGGAAGGGCCAUCGCUCAACGGAUAAAAGGUACUCUGGGGAUAACAGGCUGAUACCGCCCAAGAGUUCAUAUCGACGGCGGUGUUUGGCACCUCGAUGUCGGCUCAUCUCAUCCUGGGGCUGUAGCCGGUCCCAAGGGUAUGGCUGUUCGCCAUUUAAAGAGGUACGUGAGCUGGGUUUAAAACGUCGUGAGACAGUUUGGUCCCUAUCUGCCGUGGGCGCUGGAUAUUUGAAGGGGGCUGCUCCUAGUACGAGAGGACCGGAGUGGACGAACCUCUGGUGUACCGGUUGUCACGCCAGUGGCAUCGCCGGGUAGCUAUGUUCGGAAGAGAUAACCGCUGAAAGCAUCUAAGCGGGAAACUCGCCUUAAGAUGAGAUAUCCCCGGGGCUUCGAGCCCCUUGAAGGGUCGUUCAAGACCAGGACGUUGAUAGGUCAGGUGUGUAAGCGCAGUAAUGCGUUCAGCUAACUGAUACUAAUUGCCCGUAAGGCUUGAUCCU